rnacentral:rRNA from 1 species
UACGGAGGGUGCAAGCGUUAUCCGGAUUCACUGGGUUUAAAGGGUGCGUAGGUGGGCUGGUAAGUCAGUGGUGAAAUCUCCAGGCUUAACUUGGAAACUGCCAUUGAUACUAUUAGUCUUGAAUACCGUGGAGGUCAGCGGAAUAUGUCAUGUAGCGGUGAAAUGCUUAGAUAUGACAUAGAACACCAAUUGCGAAGGCAGCUGGCUACACGAAUAUUGACACUGAUGCACGAAAAGCGUGGGGAUCAAACAGG